GACGAACGCUGGCGGCGUGCUUAACACAUGCAAGUCGAGCGGUAAGGCCCUUUCGGGGGUACGACGAGCGGCGAACGGGUGAGUAACACGUGGGUGACCUGCCCUCAGCUCUGGGAUAAGCCUGGGAAACCGGGUCUAAUACCGGACAUGACUCCAUGACGCAUGUUGUGGGGUGGAAAGCCUUGUGCGGCUGAGGAUGGGCCCGCGGCCUAUCAGCUUGUUGGUGGGGUGAUGGCCUACCAAGGCGACGACGGGUAGCCGGCCUGAGAGGGCGACCGGCCACACUGGGACUGAGACACGGCCCAGACUCCUACGGGAGGGCAGCAGUGGGGAAUCUUGCGCAAUGGGCGAAAGCCUGACGCAGCGACGCCGCGUGAGGGAUGACGGCCUGGUGUAA
rnacentral:rRNA from 1 species